AUAAGGGUGCCCCUGAAAAAUUUUGUAAGCUUCCCUACUGACGUCAACAUUAUAUGAUUGAUAAACUUAUCAUCCAACCAUUUCCAAACAAUUAUUGUCCAAGUUUAUCACACCCCAAAAGUAGUGGCCAGUGACCAACUUGAAUAAACCUCUCGAAAAAGUCAAGCUUUGGUGCUGUUUUUUCAAGCCAUUAACGACUAAGACUUUGAAGCAGGAAUGGCCAAGGGCUGAUCAUUUCUUCUUUAAGCCAUUAAGCCGGUAAUGAUUGACACUUAAGCACUAGCUUUGCAACCUCUACUGUGCCUGCUAAAUUACCCAUGGGUUUUUCUCACUACCUUGUCCUCUUCGUUCUUCUUUCUUUACCAGUUCUUUUAGGAGCACAAAAAGCAAACAUUAGUUUAGGAUCAUACCUUACUGCUUCUGAUGACGCUUCCUGGAGAUCACCUUCUGGGGAUUUCGCCUUUGGAUUUAGCCGAAUCAACAAUCAAGAUCUCUUCUUGCUAGCCAUCUGGUAUGAAAAAAUACCAGGCAGGACAUUAGUUUGGUAUGCAAAUGGAGACAAUCUAGCACCAAAAGGAUCAAAGCUUCAGCUUAGUAAUAAUGGCAACUUCACACUCACAGGUCCGCAAGGUCAAGAAAUCUGGAAUCCCAAGUCUAGCACUGAUGGAGUUGCAUACGCUGCCAUGCUAGAUGAUGGUAAUUUUGUUCUUGCAGGAAGAGAUUCUAAUUAUUUAUGGGAGAGUUUCAAGAACCCCACAGACACAAUCUUGCCAACUCAAGUACUGGAACUUGGAGGGAAGCUAUCUUCUCGGCAAACAGAAACAAACUACUCGAAGGGAAGGUUCCAGUUGUUCAUGAAACCAGAUGGCAAUCUGGUGCUCCGUCCUAUUGGCUUGCCCACUGAUUUUCCUUAUCCAGCUUAUUACGAGAGCAAUACUGAUAGUGCUGAUGAAAUGAAUUCUGGCUACCGAAUGGUCUUUAAUGAGUCAGGUGAUCUCAAUGUUUUCCUCAGGAAUGGAAGUGUUGUCAACCUCACAAAGAACAGAACAAAAUCCAUGGGAGAUUACUAUUACAGGGCAACGCUUGAUGCUGAUGGAAUUUUCGCACUACAUGCUCAUCCAAGAACUCAAACAAAUGGAAGCUUGGGGAAGACCUGGUUUGCCAUCUGGUCAGUCCCAGAUGACAUUUGCUCCGAUAUGGACGCUGGUACCCCUACUGAUUUGGGUGGUGGCCCUUGUGGAUACAAUAGCUACUGCAGACUUGAUGAAAAACGAAGGCCACUUUGUGAAUGCCUUCCAGGGUUUUCCCUCUCCGAUCCAAACAAUAAAUUGAAUGGCUGCAAGCAAAACAGAAUUCCAAAUUGUCAUCAAGACAAUGCAAAGCCUGAGGAUUUGUAUGAAAUGCAGGAGCUACCAAAUACAUUUUGGCCAGUUUCUGCAAACUUUGAACAAUUACCGGGGGUAGAUGAGGAUGAUUGCAAGAGAUUGUGCCUUCAUGAUUGCAACUGCAUGGUUACUACCAUCAGGGAGGGGACCUGUUGGAGGAAAAAGCUCCCACUUUCAAAAGGAAGGAUGGAUUAUAACGUCUAUGGGAAGGCUAUGAUCAAGGUAAGCAAAUCUGAUGCUCCUUCUGAUGAACCCUCUGCUGGGAAUUCAGAAAUAGAGAAGAAAGAUAGAGCAACUUUGAUUCUGGUGGGAGCAGUGUUCUUGGGUAGCUCAGUAUUCCUUAAUUUCCUAUUUGUAGCAGCAAUAUCUCUGUUUGUUUUCCACUCAUACAAAAGCAGACUGAAACCAACACACACAUCCAAUAUUUUAGAACCAAAUCAACGCGCUUUUACAUAUAGAGACCUAGAAGAAGCCACAGAUGGAUUCAAAGAAGAGAUCGGAAGAGGUGCUUUUGGCACUGUAUAUAAAGGAGUGUUAUUAUCAUCAAAUUCAAGAACCUAUGUUGCAGUCAAGAAGCUAGACAGGAUGGUGCAAGAAGGCGAGAAGGAGUUCAAAACAGAAGUAAGCGCAAUAGCCAAAACCCAUCACAAGAAUUUGGUCAGAUUGAUUGGAUUUUGCGAUGAAGGCUCCAACAAGCUUUUGGUGUAUGAAUUCAUGAGCAAUGGCACCUUGGCUAGCUUACUUUUUGGAAUGUCAAGAUCUGACUGGAACAAACGAUUGCAAAUGGCAUUUGGGAUUGCAAGGGGACUCACAUACUUGCAUGAGGAAUGCAGCACACAGAUAAUCCAUUGCGACAUUAAACCCCAAAACAUUCUCCUGGAUGAUUCAUUUACUGCAAGGAUCUCGGACUUUGGAUUGGCUAAGCUUCUGAUGAGUGAUCAAACUCGUACACAUACAGGCAUUAGAGGGACCAGAGGAUAUGUUGCACCAGAAUGGUUCAGG
rnacentral:misc_RNA from 1 species